AGUGAACGCUGGCGGUAGGCCUAACACAUGCAAGUCGAACGGCAGCACAGUAAGAGCUUGCUCUUACGGGUGGCGAGUGGCGGACGGGUGAGGAAUACAUCGGAAUCUACUUUUUCGUGGGGGAUAACGUAGGGAAACUUACGCUAAUACCGCAUACGACCUACGGGUGAAAGCAGGGGAUCUUCGGACCUUGCGCGAUUGAAUGAGCCGAUGUCGGAUUAGCUAGUUGGCGGGGUAAAGGCCCACCAAGGCGACGAUCCGUAGCUGGUCUGAGAGGAUGAUCAGCACCACUGGAACUGAGACACGGUCCAGCCUCCUACGGGAGGCAGCAGAGGGUAAUAUUGGACAAUGGGCGCAAGCCUGAUCCAGCCAUACCGCGUGGGUGAAGAAGGCCUUCGGGUUGUAAAGCCCUUUUGUUGGGAAAGAAAAGCAGCAGGUUAAUACCCCGCUGUUCUGACGGUACCCAAAGAAUAAGCACCGGCUAACUUCGUG
rnacentral:rRNA from 1 species